AUUGAACGCUGGCGGCAUGCUUUACACGUGCAAGUCGAACGGUAACAGGCCGCAAGGUGCUGACGAGUGGCGAACGGGUGAGUAAUGCAUCGGAACGUGCCCAGUCGUGGGGGAUAACUACUCGAAAGAGUAGCUAAUACCGCAUACGAUCUAUGGAUGAAAGCGGGGGACCGUAAGGCCUCGCGCGAUUGGAGCGGCCGAUGUCAGAUUAGGUAGUUGGUGGGGUAAAGGCUCACCGAGCCAACGAUCUGUAGCUGGUCUGAGAGGACGACCAGCCACACUGGGACUGAGACACGGCCCAGACUCCUACGGGAGGCAGCAGUGGGGAAUUUUGGACAAUGGGCGCAAGCCUGAUCCAGCAAUGCCGCGUGCAGGAAGAAGGCCUUCGGGUUGUAAACUGCUUUUGUACGGAACGAAACGGCUCUGGUUAAUACCCGGGGCUAAUGACGGUACCGUAAGAAUAAGCACCGGCUAACUACGUG
rnacentral:rRNA from 1 species